CCCCGCUGCCUCCCGCCUCCUCGAGCCCUCAGCUGCGAGCACCCGAUUGCCUCCUGUCUCAUCGAGCCCUCAGCCAUGAGCACCCAACUACCUCUCCGAGCCCUCAAUUGCCUCCUGCCUCCCUGAGCCCCUUGCCGGAUCGGCCUCCCCGCCGCCUCUCCGUUCUCCCGCGGCCCCUCCCCUUGUUGGAUCGGGCCCCCGCCGC
rnacentral:lncRNA from 1 species